UACGUAGGGUGCGAGCGUUAAUCGGAAUUACUGGGCGUAAAGGGUGCACAGGCGGUUGAGUAAGACAGAUGUGAAAUCCCCGAGCUUAACUCGGGAAUGGCAUAUGUGACUGCUCGACUAGAGUGUGUCAGAGGGAGGUGGAAUUCCACGUGUAGCAGUGAAAUGCGUAGAUAUGUGGAAGAACACCGAUGGCGAAGGCAGCCUCCUGGGACAUAACUGACGCUCAGGCACGAAAGCGUGGGGAGCAAACAGG
rnacentral:rRNA from 1 species